rnacentral:rRNA from 1 species
GAUGAACGCUGGCGGCGUGCUUAACACAUGCAAGUCGAACGAUGAAGCCCAGCUUGCUGGGUGGAUUAGUGGCGAACGGGUGAGUAACACGUGAGUAACCUGCCCUUGACUCUGGGAUAAGCCCGGGAAACUGGGUCUAAUACCGGAUAGGAGCGCCUGUCGCAUGACGGGUGCUGGAAAGAUUUUUCGGUCAUGGAUGGACUCGCGGCCUAUCAGCUUGUUGGUGGGGUAAUGGCUCACCAAGGCGACGACGGGUAGCCGGCCUGAGAGGGUGACCGGCCACACUGGGACUGAGACACGGCCCAGACUCCUACGGGAGGCAGCAGUGGGGAAUAUUGCACAAUGGGCGGAAGCCUGAUGCAGCGACGCCGCGUGAGGGAUGACGGCCUUCGGGUUGUAAACCUCUUUCAGUAGGGAAGAAGCGGAAGUGACGGUACCUGCAGAAGAAGCACCGGCUAACUACGUG